GAAAUUAAGAGAGAACAAGCAAUCUAGAUUAUAUUUUUUAUUUUCUUUAUUUCAUUUUGUUACAAUCAUCAUGAGUACAAAUGCAUAAUUACAAGGUCCAUAUGGAACUAGUAUAAGAAAAACAAAUUAUUGAGUGCCACCAGAAUAAGACAACACAAUAUUCUAGCAGGGGUGUUUAAUAUGUUCUUUAUUGGGUUUAUACUCAUAAAAUUUAUGGAGAUCCUUUAAUACACUUACAAACAUUAUCGAGACACUUUGGAAAAGUAUAAUUCCAACACAUAUGUAAUGGACAAUCGGAUGUUUUAGAACAUUUUUUAACCGCUGUAGUGCAAAAAGAGAAAAAAAAUGUUAUUAUAAUGGGAUAAAAUAUCAUGUACAAAGUAAUUAUAAGGAAAUUUGUAAAAGAUAAAGAAAACUCACCAUCAACAUUCAUCAAAUAUACAAAAAGAAAUAUAAUCAUAACAUAAACAAAGUUGACAAUGUUAGCCAUAUUUUCCCCCUUUACAUGUAUCAACUAUAAUUUGAUUUUUUUUAUAAUCAAUUUAUAACUCACAUGUUCUCCUUAUAUCAAUUAAAUAUAAUUUAGCACUUAUAUACUUGUAUAAAACUCUUCACGAAAUCAGUAUCCUU
rnacentral:lncRNA from 1 species